UACGUAGGGUGCAAGCGUUGUCCGGAAUUAUUGGGCGUAAAGAGCUCGUAGGCGGUUUGUCGCGUCUGCUGUGAAAACUCAGGGCUUAACUCUGAGCUUGCAGUGGAUACGGGCAGACUAGAGGUAGGUAGGGGAGAAUGGAAUUCCCGGUGUAGCGGUGAAAUGCGCAGAUAUCGGGAGGAACACCGGUGGCGAAGGCGGUUCUCUGGGCCUUACCUGACGCUGAGGAGCGAAAGCGUGGGGAGCGAACAGG
rnacentral:rRNA from 1 species